CAGACGGUCGCCUUUAUCACAUGCAAGAUUACCAAGUUUGGCUGCCAACUUCUAGGAAAUGCCUUUUCAGCAUCUGUUGAUGCGUCCAUGGUCUCACUUUGUCACCCAGGUUGGAGUGCAGAGGCAAGAUCUCAGCUCACUGCAGCCUCGAACUCUUGGGCUCAAGCAACCCUCCUGCCUCAGUCUCCUCAGUAACUGGGACUACAGUGUUUCCCUGCCCCUCCCUCUUCUGACACUGGCUGCUGUUAAAAUCUGGAGUCGCAAUCCUACUCCACCUGGAUUAUCGAGGAUGCUAAACGCACGAACUCAACAUUGAUCCUGUUGGUGGAAAAAUGACACAAGCCGCAAUGUCUGCUAUCUCCUGUGGGGCCACCUGGGGCACACUGUUGUACACCCCUUUCCCCACCAUGCUUGGGUUGGGCUGAAUGUGAGGACCCAUAUGGACUCAAGUUAUUAUAACAUCUGGUUAUAGUAGGACAUAGUCAAUAUCCCAGAGCUCUGUCCAUACUCAAUGGUGGAAGUGACUGAGCCAUUCUGUUUUGGUAAUUGGCAACUCACUUUUUCUGAAAAUAAAGUGUCAAUGAUAAUUGGGAUAUAUAAACCUCAAGUCAGCCUCCUGCUGAUUGUUCCACGGUUAGUUAAGAAUUACACUGUGGUGAGCUAAUAAAUACAAAAGCCUAGAGCAAUUGUUUCUGUGAGUAACAGGGAAAUAUUUAGUAAGUAUCCACUGGUCUCCUGAGCAGAAGAGCAAGGAUUUCACAUGAUGAUUGUCCCAGUCUACCCUCCCAGAAGCACCACAGCCCCGCUUGAGGCAGGUGCCCUUCCCCACACACUUCACUGCUUCCCAGGGUUCCCCCCGCACACAGAGAAAAGCAAUUCUCAGAUAUGUUCUGGGUUACUCUGUAAACGGGUUGUGAACGUUGUUAAAUUAAUUUCUCAUAUUUGUUACAUACACACACAAAGAUAUCAACAGAGCAGACAAACCUUGAAGACUCUAAGAAGGCUGGGGAGUUGAGCCACUGCUGUGUGCGUGCUUCUCUAUUUCCUCUUCCUGUGUACAGAUUAGUAGGACGUGACAGAGUCUUGAUUUAAAGUUUGAAACAAUCAUCCUCAUUUCCACAAGGAUUUGGAGCAGUGGGGAACCUAAGCUCAGCAAAGGAGGCUGCGGACUAGCCUCCUGUCUUUGGUGAGCUUCUCGUCUUCCUGUGGUUUUCACCUCCCCACCUGCCUUUGCCAUCCUGGGUUACCAUGUUUAGACUCAACUCUAGUUCAGGGUCCUCGGUUCUUGGGUAGGUAUCAAAAAUUAAAUCUUUUUUCUAGCCUUGGUUUCACAAACCCAUCCCUUAUAUCUUUCCUAUAACAUCCAGUAAGAGGAUAUCCUGCUUUCCUCCCUAGGUCAGAUUGACUAGCCAUGGGCACCACCAUGUCUAAAUGUCAGCAGGGCAUUUGCAGCCCUCCUUAGUUUAUAAUGGAUCAUUACAGUGCAUGGUCUUUUAAAUGGGCAAUAGGUACACUGGGAGUGAGCCCAAAUUUAAAUUUCCCCAUUAAGGAUCCUGGAACUAUGAUAUCCUGAAACAUCUAAAGGAGGACCAGGAAAGUCAUUAGAUUGUUGCCAACUAGAUUGUUUCAUGUACACGUGGAAAGAUUAGUUCUGACACAAGUUGCCAAGAAGGUAGGUGAAACCUCACUAAAGAUGUUGAGAGAACCACUGAGAAGUCCUGUCAAUUUCCUCUCCAAGCGUGACCCACUAAGACAUACCCCGCCCCCCAUCCCACAACAGCUAAAGACUGACUGUUUGACUUCCUCCUCCUCCUCUGUCCCCAGAGUCACUUAAAAUUGCCUUGAGUGGAGUUCCAACAGUGUCCUGAUGUUCUACUUUCAAAGAUGCCAACUGGAGAUGCCUGGAGCUUUGCUAUAAAGUACCCUCUUAAUCUCAUAUAAAACUCAGCCUCGCGAAGACUUGGCUCAUAUUCUGAGUGUCCAGGUGUGCUAGGGCACUUGCAGAGAAUCUGCUGGUCUUGAUUCACUGGUGGGGGUAAUCGCUGCCCAGAUUAGAAACAUGCCCUGCCUGGGGUUUUAGAAAGUGUGCUGGCAGUCACCUUUCCUCACACCCAUCAGGCAGUUGGUACCUGCCAUGUUGUAUUGUCAAGUUUUAAAAAAUAAAAAAGAACAAAGAAAAAUUUAGUCUCAAAGCAUUAAGUACUGCAAUUCUCAAGCCAUUAAGAUGGGACACCCUAGAAACAAUCAGAAUAUUUUCUGUCUAGGAAAGCAGAAUAUGGCUGGGCCUCGUGGCUCACGCCUAUAAUCCUAGUACUUUGGGAGGCUGAGGUAGUUGAAUCACUUGAGGUCAGGAGUUCAAGACCAGCCUGAUCAACAUGGUGAUGCUCCACCUCUACUAAAAAUACAAAAUUAGCCGAGCAUGGCGGUGCAUGCUUGUAAUCCCAGCUACUUGGAGGCUGAGGCAGGAGAAUCACUUGAAUCUAGGAGGCAGAGGUUGUAGUGAGCCAAGAUCAUGCCAUUACCCUACAUCCUAGGCAACAAGAGUGAAAUUCCAUCUAAAAAAAAAAGAAAAGAAAGAAAAGGCAGAACGCAGUGGCUCACACCUGUAAUCCCAGCACUUUGCGAGGCUGAGGUGGGCGGAUCACGAGUUCAGGAGUUUGACACCAGCUUGGCCAACAUGGUGAAACCCCGCCACUGCUAAAAAUACAAAAUUUAGCCAGGCAUGAUGGUAUACACUUGUAAUCCCAGCUACUCAGGAGGCUGAGGCAGAAGAAUCGCUUGAACCGGAGAGGCAGGGGUUGCAAUGAGCCGAGAUCAAGCCACUGCACUCCAGCCUGAGUGACAGAGCAAGACUCCAUCUCAAAAAUAAAGAAAGAAGGAAAGGAAGGAAGGAAGAAAGAAAAGAAAGGCAGAAUAUUUGAAUAUUUUAGAAUGGCUGGAAAUGAAGUUAAGUCUAUUUUCAGAUAAGUAUGUCUAGACUGCAGAAGGCCAGGUGAGAAAAAAAUUGUUUGUAUUUCAAGAAACAACUUUGGUCAACUAAGAGGCAUUAAGAAGGUGCAUUCUAUAUACAUAAACAGAAACUAGAGUAAGAGGAAAUUUAAAGAUUUAGGGACUAGAUUAUGAUAAAAUCAACUUAAAGAAUCACCCAGGGCCAGGUGUGGUGGCUCACACCUGUAAUCCCAGCACUUUGGGAGGCCGAAGUGGGCAAAUCACCUGAGGUCAAGAGUUUGAGACCAGCCUGACCAACACGAUAAAACCUAUCUCUACUGAAAAUACAGAAAUUAGCCGGGUGUGGUGGUGCAUGCCUGUAAUCCCUGCUACUCGAGAGGCUGAGGCAGAAGAAUUGCUUGAACUCGGGAGGUGGAAGUUGCAGUGAGCCAAGAUCGUGCCACUCUACUCCAGCCUGGGUGACACAGUGGGACUCCGUCUCAAGAAAAAAAAAAGAAAAAAAAGAGAAUCACUUGGAUUUAUGUACUGUAAACUUUGGUAUAAUGUAAUAAUAUUACGUUGGUAGGAAAAUGUUUUAUAUUUAAAAAGGAAGCUCAAAGAAGAGAGAGAAUAAAUUUUAAAGGCUUUAACAUCAUGACUAUUUACUA
rnacentral:lncRNA from 1 species